GUAGAGUUGUAGAGCUGUAGAGCUGUAGUGUUGUAGAGUUGUAGAGCUGUAGGGCUGUAGAGCUGUAGAGUUGUAGAGCUGUAGCGUUGUAGAGCUGUAAAGUUGUAGAGCUGUAAAGUUGUAGAGCUGUAAAGUUGUAGAGCUGUAGAGCUGUAGAGUUGUAGAGCUGUAGAGUUGUAGAGUUGUAGAGCUGUAGAGUUGUAGAGUUGUAGAGUUGUAGAGUUAUAGAGCUGUAGAGUUGUAGAGCUGUAGCGUUGUAGAGCUGUAGAGUUGUAGAGCUGUAGAGCUGUAAAGUUGUAGAGCUGUAAAGUUGUAGAGCUGUAGAGCUGUAGAGCUGUAGAGCUGCAGAGAUGUAGAGUUGUAGAGUUGUAGAGUUGUAGAGUUGUAGCAUUGUAGAGCUGUAGAGUUGUAGAGCUGUAGAGCUGUAGAGCUGUAGAGUUGUAGAGCUGUAGAGUUGUAGAGCUGUAGAGUUGUAGAGCUGUAGAGCUGUGGAGCUAUAGAGUUGUAGAGCUGUAGAGUUGUAGUGCUGUAGAGCUGUAGAGUCGUAGAGCUGUAGAGCUGUAGAGCUGUAGAGCUAUAGAGUUGUAGAGCUGU
rnacentral:lncRNA from 1 species